rnacentral:ncRNA from 2 species
CCUUGCCGCACUUUUUCAGGUGUCCGUCGCAAAGCGCGACGGGUGAAACGGGAAAUCGGUGAGCCUGGUGAAACCCACUGGUGCAAGUCCGAUGCUGCCCCCGCAACGGUAAGCAGGAACCGGCGAUCUGUCGCGCCACUGUGCCCUCGGCAUGGGAAGGUGAUCGCCCGGGAACCGAUGGUUCCGCCUGCAAGCCCGGAGACCGGCCUGGAAAACACACCCGGA